rnacentral:sRNA from 1 species
CUACAGGUAUGCUAUUCUUGUUUUACACAGAAAAACAGGGGCAAAAAGGAAUUCCCCGUAUGUUCCAGGUUACCUGGCUGGUAUGUGGCAGAGCUGUAACUGAUGUCCAGACCUCUAGCUAGGGCUCCCCUCAAGAUGCGGUACUGGGGCAGCCCAAAGGGUGCUUCUCUGCAAGAUCCCUUCAGCCUCUAUUGGUCUGUGCUAGUUUCUGCAUUUGUUUGCUUCUUUGAAUCUAGUCAAAGACCUGAUUUUCCUUUUCAGGAUAGCUGUGCUAUCUUCCUAGAAUAGUAAACACACCUUGAGUGCUUUCCAUAUGCCAGGCCUUGAUAAUAAAGUACUUAUUGGAUGUUGGGUACUAUCCUAUAUGUCAAGCUACUUGACAUUUUAACUUAUUUAAAAUGAUAACCAGUUCCCUAUGGAAUAUAUUAUAUUGCCACCCCAAAUUUACAGAUAAGCAAGCUGACAGCCCAAUGUCGCACAGCCUGUAAAAGAUACAGUUGGUGCUGGUACCCAGACUGAAAGGCAGAAAAUGGCUCCACACCAAUAAAAAAUGGAGGCCUCCUUUGCUCUGAAAACCUGUGAACUGAUACCUCGCCUUCUUUUAUCUUCACAACUUACUGAAAUAAAUCCCCUUGAUAGAAUUUCCAUUCUAAACUAAAGCUUCAAGCAACCUAAGGAGACCUAUCUCCCCCACCCCUCAGAUUCUACCUUGGUGAGUUGAACAGCCAAAUCAACUCUUCUUGGUUCAAUGCUUAAGGUGUGUGUCUGAAACCUGAACAACUACCUCUGUGGCUUCUGGUCAGUAGCGCAGCGCGGCUACAUCCGCAGUUCUGUGCGUACGUACUCUAAGUCAGCUACAAAGAUCCUUCCAUUGCUACCUUCUAUUCUGGAAAGUGUCUGGAAACCUCCUCGAAGUUCACUAAAGGAACUGAAACCCAGAAACAAAGAGGCAUCACUAACUUCCCGCUGGCCAGACCAAGACCAAGACCUCAUCUUUUCCCCUCCCUCUCCCCUUCCGGGAGUUUCACGAAGUCAGUUAGACACAACUACUGAGGUUGUGGAGUGAGAGCGUGUGGAGUGCGCAGGCCGGAAGAAAUAUCUUUCGUGGCGAGGUCUGGGGAUCAGCGUGGGAAAAGGUAUCGAGCGUGGUGUAGCUUGCAGGCAGGCACCGCUGAAGAUGACCAACCAGAGAGCAGGAGCUAGAGGCACUCGGCAGAUCUUCACUCUCCAGUGCGCGUCCUGGUGCCAAGUGUCAUUGACCAACUGAUUGAAAAAUGCUUCAGCUCUAGGAAAGGAGCGUUAGACUUGGUGCUUCCAUUGGGGGUUGGGCAGGGAGAGAUGGGACAGGUCAGGGAGCAGUAGCCUGGCUGGGACUCACCAGACUCAAGGCCUGGGUGCUCUGGUCACUCCUUCCCCAAUUCAUCCAGCUCAGAACUCUGCAUCACAAAGCACUGUGGAACUCUGCGCUACUCUGAGAAAGCUCAGGGCACUUCCCAGGUCUCCCGCCUCUGUAGGGAGUGUCCCUUGACACUUGCAGCUUUCUUACACCUGCAGCUUCCUCGCGCCAACUCUUGCCAGCGCUUAUCCUAAUCACUAGGGUGUGUCGGUGAAAACUGGGGUCACUUAUUACCUGGACUGAAGGUCUGUUGAUUUCUUAACCUCCGUUAUAAGAGAGAGUUUUAGACCCAUUUUACAGAAGAAGGACCUGAAGAUCUGUGAUGUAUAUCUAAAGAACUGUUAAGUUGUGAGGUGACAACCAUGGGACACGGCUUAAGAGAUGAACUUCCUCAGUUACUAUUGGGGCAUUCUAACCUGCAGUGGGCAGGUCAAAGGCCUCCCUACAUCUGAGUCUGAAAAAAGUGAGAAGGUAAAGGAACCUUGCUCUCAGGAGAGGUAAAGAACUCUGAGAAACCGACAAAACCAAGCCGACUCUCAGCCAGGCCGCAUCCCUCCACCUCUCUGGGCACAGUUCUGGACUGCAGACCUCUAGGUUUUGGAACAGUCGGGCCCAGAGCUCCCCUGCCACAUAUGGUCUGUGGACUUAGGUGUCAAAAACCGGAGAAUUAGAAAUGAACUUGUAUGCUGGGGAACUGAAGACAUGUAUGGAAAGUCCUGUGGUCAGUCUCGAGUACUCUGAAGCCUAAGAGUUUGAAACCAGUGUCACCGGAAACUGGCUCUGUCCCUAGCAGCCAACUCAGAAGAUGGGAAGGAAAAUGAGGCACAGUGCCAGAGACCUUCACCUAGCAAAACCAGCUCCUGAGGUCAACCACCCUGAGGGCAACUGUUCAGCCCGUCUGACAUGUAUGGGCACAACCAAAGUGGAGCUGCCGUCUAGUCAACUGUCAGAAAGAGGUGUCAUCUUGGAUAGCCUCAGAUUAGGAGCCCCGGCUGGUGUUUCCCUGGGAAACAGAUAUUUGUUGACCUCCUCCCACUCCCGGCAACCUCACCGGGAGAGUUUGGCAGGUGAGUGGUUGCCUAGAAUAAAACCCCAGGGCUCCGAGUAUUAGCGGGCUCCCAAGGAGCUCUACUCUACUUCCCAUUUAGCAUCUCUGCUGGGUAGAGUAUCCCUUGCCCUCCUUUGGGGCCCAGGAGUUCUUCAGCCGGUUUUGGGGUUUGAGGAACAAUGCCUUC